GAUGAACGCUGGCGGCGUGCCUAAUACAUGCAGGUCGAGCGAACAGACGAGGAGCUUGCUCCUCUGACGUUAGCGGCGGACGGGUGAGUAACACGUGGAUAACCUACCUAUAAGACUGGGAUCACUUCGGGACACCGGCGCUAAUACCGGAUAAUAUAUUGCACCGCAUGGUUCAUUAGUGAAAGACGGUUUUGCUGUCACUUAUAGAUGGAUCCGCGCCGCAUUAGCUAGUUGGUAAGGUAACGGCUUACCACGGCAACGAUGCGUAGCCGACGUGUGAGGGUGGUAGGCCGCACGGGAACUGGGACACGGUCAAGACGCCUGCGGGAGGCAGCAGUAGGGAAUCGGCCGCAAUGGUCGAAAGCCUGACAGAGCAACGCCGCGUGAGUGAUGAAGGUCUUCGGAUCGUAAAACUCUGUUAUGAGGGAAAAACAAAUGUGUAAGUAACUAUGCACGGCUUGACGGUACCUAAUCAGAAAGCCACGGCUAACUACGUG
rnacentral:rRNA from 1 species